UUCCGGUUGAUCCUGCCGGACCCGACUGCUAUCAGAGUAGGACUAAGCCAUGCGAGUCGACGUAGCAAUGCGUGGCGAACGGCUCAGUAACACGUAGUCAACAUGCCCAAGGGACGUGGAUAACCUCGGGAAACUGAGAAUAAACCACGAUAGGUCAUGAUUUCUGGAAUGGAUCAUGGCUCAAAUCUACAUGGCCCCUGGAUUGGACUGCGGCCGAUCAGGCAGUUGGUGAGGUAAAGGCCCACCAAACCUAUAACCGGUACGGGCUCUGAGAGGAGAAGCCCGGAGAUGGGCACUGAGACAAGGGCCCAGGCCCUAUGGGGCGCAGCAGGCGCGAAACCUCUGCAAUUGGCGAAAGCCUGACAGGGUUACUCUGAGUGAUUUCCGCUAAGGGGAUCUUUUGGCACCUCUAAAAAUGGUGCAGAAUAAGGGGUGGGCAAGUCUGGUGUCAGCCGCCGCGGUAAUACCAGCACCCCGAGUGGUCGGGACGAUUAUUGGGCCUAAAGCAUCCGUAGCCGGUUCUGCAAGUCUUCCGUUAAAUCCAGCCGCUCAACGGAUGGGCCGCGGAGGAUACUACAGGACUAGGAGGCGGGAGAGGCAAGCGGUACUCAGUGGGUAGGGGUAAAAUCCUUUGAUCCAUUGAAGACCACCAGUGGCGAAGGCGGCUUGCCAGAACGCGCUCGACGGUGAGGGAUGAGAGCUGGGGGAGCAAGCCGGAUUAGAUACCCGGGUAGUCCCAG
rnacentral:rRNA from 1 species